GGAUCAGACGUGAUUACCCGCUGAACUUAAGCAUAUCACUAA
rnacentral:rRNA from 4 species